CAAGCUUCUAACCGUCUCCUGAGAGACAGCUUCUUGAC
rnacentral:rRNA from 1 species